AUGCCCUACGGGGCGCAGCAGUGAGGAAUAUUGGUCAAUGGGCGAGAGCCUGAACCAGCCAAGUCGCGUGAAGGAUGACGGCCCUACGGGUUGUAAACUUCUUUUGUCAGGGAGCAAUUGAGUCCACGUGUGGGCUUAGCGAGAGUACCUGAAGAAAAAGCAUCGGCUAACUCCGUGCCAGCAGCCGCGGUAAUACGGAGGAUGCGAGCGUUAUCCGGAUUUAUUGGGUUUAAAGGGUGCGUAGGCGGAAUAUCAAGUCAGCGGUAAAAAUUCGGGGCGCAACCCCGUCGUGCAGUUGAAACUGA
rnacentral:rRNA from 1 species